rnacentral:rRNA from 1 species
UGGGGAAUAUUGCACAAUGGGCGCAAGCCUGAUGCAGCCAUGCCGCGUGUAUGAAGAAGGCCUUCGGGUUGUAAAGUACUUUCAGCGGGGAGGAAGGGAGUAAAGUUAAUACCUUUGCUCAUUGACGUUACCCGCAGAAGAAGCACCGGCUAACUCCGUGCCAGCAGCCGCGGUAACACGGAGGGUGCAAGCGUUAAUCGGAAUUACUGGGCGUAAAGCGCACGCAGGCGGUUUGUUAAGUCAGAUGUGAAAUCCCCGGGCUCAACCUGGGAACUGCAUCUGAUAAUGGCAAGCUUGAGUCUCGUAGAGGGGGGUAGAAUUCCAGGUGUAGCGGUGAAAUGCGUAGAGAUCUGGAGGAAUACCGGUGGCGAAGGCGGCCCCCUGGACGAAGACUGAUGCUCAGGUGCGAAAGCGUGGGGAGCAAACAGG